rnacentral:rRNA from 1 species
AACGAACGCUGGCGGCAUGCCUAACACAUGCAAGUCGAACGAGACCUUCGGGUCUAGUGGCGCACGGGUGCGUAACGCGUGGGAACCUGCCCUUAGGUUCGGAAUAACUCCCCGAAAGGGGUGCUAAUACCGGAUAAUGUCUUCGGACCAAAGAUUUAUCGCCUUUGGAUGGGCCCGCGUUGGAUUAGCUAGUUGGUAGGGUAAAAGCCUACCAAGGCGACGAUCCAUAGCUGGUCUGAGAGGAUGAUCAGCCACACUGGGACUGAGACACGGCCCAGACUCCUACGGGAGGCAGCAGUGGGGAAUAUUGGACGAUGGGCGAAAGCCUGAUCCAGCAAUGCCGCGUGAGUGAUGAAGGCCUUAGGGUUGUAAAGCUCUUUUACCCGAGAUGAUAAUGACAGUACCGGGAGAAUAAGCACCGGCUAACUCCGUG